rnacentral:tRNA from 1 species
GUCGGCAUAGUUUAAUUAAAAUAUUAGAUUGUGAUUCUAAAGAUAAGGGUUAAACCCCCUUUGUCUACC